rnacentral:tRNA from 1 species
GGGGCUGUAGCUCAGUGGUAGGGCACUUGCCUUGCACACGUGAGGCCCUGGGUUAGAACCUCAGCACCA